CAUAAUAGAUGCUUUGCUGAUCGCCCCCAGCUGCUCCAGAACACCUAGAUCUUAAAGGAAAUUUACUUUUUGGAUUGUUGUACUUGCAGGAAGUAGAGAAAAAUCUCCCAGGAACCCUCCUUCCUAAAGGAAGGGUAACAAAUUCCAAGCCAGAACCAGAGCUAAGAGCCAAGAGUGGAGAAUAAGCUGCAGAACGAGAUUCCUGACAGCAGCACUCUGAUUUGUAUUUGGGAUAGUAAACCUUGAGCCACAGUGAGGAAGGGGAGUUGAACAGAAAUCUCUGCAUCACACCAAAAUAGCGGCAGCCCUCCGACUCCAGCAAAAGCAGGUGCUCUGACUUUUGGCCUCACUACUGACGGAUGCAGCAGCUCAGGCCCAGCACUGACAACCAUCCACCAAACUCAGGUGAAUAAUUUCCCUGCUCCAGAAGCUUUCAGUUCCCAUCCAGAAGGUCACGUUAUUCAUUAAACAGGCCAAAGCACAUUUUGGAAGGUAGCUCUGUUAGUCUGCAGGAACUGCUGAGUUGACACUUCAUUAACUGGAAGUGUAGAUACUAGCAUUAAGCAUCCAAAGAAAUCCAUUAAAA
rnacentral:lncRNA from 1 species